CAUAUCAAAAAGCGGAGGAAAAGAAACCAACAGGGAUUGCCUUAGUAACGGCGAAGUGAAGCGGCAAAAGCUCAAAUUUGAAAUCUGGCACCUUCGGUGUCCGAGUUGUAAUUUUGAAAGAAAGGUAACUUUGGAGUUGGCUCUUGUCUAUGUUCCUUGGAACAGGACGUCACAGAGGGUGAGAAUCCCGUGCGAUGAGAUGCCCAAUUCUAUGUAAAGUGCUUUCGAAGAGUCGAGUUGUUUGGGAAUGCAGCUCUAAGUGGGUGGUAAAUUCCAUCUAAAGCUAAAUAUUGGCGAGAGACCGAUAGCGAACAAGUACAGUGAUGGAAAGAUGAAAAGAACUUUGAAAAGAGAGUGAAAAAGUACGUGAAAUUGUUGAAAGGGAAGGGCUUGAGAUCAGACUUGGUAUUUUGCGAUCCUUUCCUUCUUGGUUGGGUUCCUCGCAGCUUACUGGGCCAGCAUCGGUUUGGAUGGUAGGAUAAUGACUAAGGAAUGUGGCUCUACUUCGGUGGAGUGUUAUAGCCUUGGUUGAUACUGCCUGUCUAGACCGAGGACUGCGUCUUUUGACUAGGAUGUUGGCAUAUNCNACGAANNAAAUGNCAGC
rnacentral:rRNA from 1 species